rnacentral:rRNA from 4 species
AAACCAACAGGGAUUGCCCUAGUAACGGCGAGUGAAGCGGCAACAGCUCAAAUUUGAAAUCUGGCUUCGGCCCGAGUUGUAAUUUGUAGAGGAUGCUUUGGGCGCGGCGCCAACUGAGUUCCCUGGAACGGGACGCCACAGAGGGUGAGAGCCCCGUAUAGUUGGAUGCCUAGCCUAUGUAAAGCUCCUUCGACGAGUCGAGUAGUUUGGGAAUGCUGCUCAAAAUGGGAGGUAAAUUUCUUCUAAAGCUAAAUACCGGCCAGAGACCGAUAGCGCACAAGUAGAGUGAUCGAAAGAUGAAAAGCACUUUGAAAAGAGGGUUAAAUAGCACGUGAAAUUGUUGAAAGGGAAGCGCUUGUGACCAGACUUGCGCCGGGCAGAUCAUCCGGUGUUCUCACCGGUGCACUCUGCCCGGCUCAGGCCAGCAUCGGUUCUCGUGGGGGGAUAAAGGUCUCGGGAACGUAGCUCUUCCGGGAGUGUUAUAGCCCGGGGCGUAAUGCCCUCGCGGGGACCGAGGUUCGCGCAUCUGCAAGGAUGCUGGCGUAAUGGUCAUCAGCGACCCGUCUUGAAACACGGACCAAGGAGUCAAGGUUUUGCGCGAGUGUUUGGGUGUAAAACCCGCACGCGUAAUGAAAGUGAACGUAGGUGAGAGCUUCGGCGCAUCAUCGACCGAUCCUGAUGUAUUCGGAUGGAUUUGAGUAAGAGCGUUAAGCCUUGGACCCGAAAGAUGGUGAACUAUGCUUGGAUAGGGUGAAGCCAGAGGAAACUCUGGUGGAGGCUCGCAGCGGUUCUGACGUGCAAAUCGAUCGUCAAAUCUGAGCAUGGGGGCGAAAGAC